GUGGAGUGUAUAGAAACUUUUGAAUUGUGUUAGGAUGGGUUAGGCCCAUUAGAAUUUUGAGUUAAGCCCAUUAAGGGGGAUAACACUAGGGUUGUCUUAGAAUGGUUAUUCAUUUCACAAAACAAUUUUCAUAGAGAGAAGGAGAGGUAGAGAGAGAAGAGGUGAAGAGAAGAGCAAGAGGGUUGAAGGGAAGCUUUAGGAAUCAAGUGGGUGACCUAGGAGCUGAAUUGAAGCAAGGGUUAGAGAUAAUCAACUUCAAAGGUAAAGGGGUUAGUCAUCAUCAUAAUCAUAAUUGUUUGCUUGCAAUUUUUCUUGGUUUGUAUGAAAAAGUGCUUAAUUGAGUGAGAAUUCAUAUGAACCCAAUCUCUAAUUUUCGUGCUCUUGUUUUGGUGAUAAGUUUGAGUAUGUUAAUUGAAUGAUAAAUGAAUUGUUGGUGAUGAAAUAACAUGUUCAUAAUGUAUGAAAAUGGGUUGUUGUGAAAUUAUGCUUAAUUGAUGACUUAUGACAUGUUGUUGUUGAAUUGAGGUGUGAAUCAAGUUUCAAUUGAUGUUGUUGUUGCUGAGAUACGUUGUUGAUUAUGAAUUAUGGCUUGGGUGCUCAUUUAUCAUGAUUGUUGUUGAGAAAAUGAGCUGUUGUUGGUGGUUUUGUAAAAUGGGUUGAUAAAGAAGAAGUUUGAUAUUGAUGAUGUUGAAUGAGAUAAGGAAGUUGUUAGAAUGAAUUAGGAUGGUAUGAUUUUCUGUUUUAAUCACUUGGUUUUGGAGAGAAAUCGUUUUGGGAAGAAAACGGGUUUUUGAGUAAAAGUGAUUUUUAAGUGCUUUUGCAAAAUAAGUCAUUUUGGGAUGAGUUGAUUAAGUUGUUUUAAUGUUUAAAUGUCAAGUUUUCAAGUGUGGUAUGUAUGGUCUAAGUGUUAGGAAUGCAUUGGCGAAAACGGAAUUGAAAUCGGAUUCGAAAACAAGAUUUUAUGCGCAAAAACGUAAAAAUGCAUUUUGCUGUACUGGUGAGGUGACACGACCGUGCGUCUAGAUGGCACGACCGUGUCAGUUUCUCCUGUAAAGGGAGCACGACCGUGCGUCCUGAUGACACGACUGUGUCAGUUUCUCCUGUAAAGGGAUCACGACCGUGCUUCCUUAUGGCACGACCGUGUCAGUUCUGCAGAAUUCCAAAACCUCAUUAUGUUCGUGUUUUUAUGUACUUUUAAGCAUGCCAAUGGAUUCCAAACACCUAACCUUAUUCAAUCAAUUUAUGAUUAAGCUUCUAAGAGUAUCAUAGCUUGAUUCUAACUUGGUUUUGUUUUGAAAAUGAAUUGGUUUUGCAAUAUGGAAGAAAUGAUAUGAACUUGUCGUAAUUCGGUAAUUUUGAUGAUUUUGUCGAAAUGAACUUUUGUGAUAGUUCAUGUUGAGUGAUUAUAUGUUGGAUAUGAUAUUUGUCAUGAGAUGUUGUAUGUUCUCUUACUUGGAAUAGGAGAAUUGUUUGAAAUGGUGAAACUAUAUGUGAUAGUUGAUGUUGAAUAACAUUGUUGAUUAUUGAUGAUCAUGUUGAUGUGAUGAUGAUGAAUGCUAUGAUUUAUUUGUGUGGGCAUGUUUUCUUGAUAAUGCAAUGUUGUGGAGAUGAUCAAUAUAAUUGGGUGUUGUCCUAUAUAUUGAGGUUGAGAUUGUGGAUUGUUGUCGCAUUAUCGAGUUCUUAUACAUGUCCAUGCAUCAUAGUCGAGUUCUUGUAUAAGAGUCCGGCUCUUUUACUUCGGAGAUUAUGUAAGGAGCCUUACAUACGAUGUUGACUUGUCCAUCGGAGGUGACAACCUUUUGGAGAUUUGGUACCACAUGCAUUUAUGUGUCAAUAAGUGCAUAUCAUAACAUGAGUCUUAUGUGAAAUUCGUGAUUGGUGAUGAAAUGAGAUGAAUGAUUAUUGAUGAUGUUGUGAUCGAUGCUUGUGAAUGAAUAACUAUGAGUGGAUAAUUGUUCAAUAAUCGAUGUUUGUGAAUGAAUAUUUAUGAUUGGAUAAUUUUUCAUGUGAUUGAUAUAUGUUGAUAUGAGUUAUCAAGUUGCAAUGUAAGUAUCUAUGCAUGACUAAUAUUAUUCAAAUACAUGAUAUUAUUGAUUUGAUUGUUAUCUGGAUUAUGAUAAUGUAAUACUUACCCCAAGUGGUUUUAACCGCCUACUUGCCUGUAUGGGUGAGUAGACGUUGUGCAGGAGUAGUGCUCGGUGAGUCUUUGCUUGGGAUAUCGGGAGCUUUCUCCGAUAUCGGUGUCGUGUCGGCUCUGAUCUAGG
rnacentral:lncRNA from 1 species